rnacentral:rRNA from 1 species
AAACGUAGGGGGCUAGCGUUGUCCGGAAUUACUGGGCGUAAAGGGCACGCAGGCGGUCUGGAAAGCGGCGGGUGCAAUCUCGAGGCUCAACUUCGAAACUGCUCGCCGAACUAUCAGACUAGAGCAUGGGAGAGGACAGUGGAAUUCCCGGUGUAGCGGUGGAAUGCGUAAAUAUCGGGAGGAACACCAGUGGCGAAGGCUGCUGUCUGGAACAUUGCUGACGCUGAGGUGCGAAAGCCAGGGGAGCGAACGGGAUUAGAUACCCCGGUAGUCCUGGCUGUAAACGAUGCUCACUAGGUGUUACCGGCAUUAACCCCGGUAGUGCUGUUCUGCUAACGCGUUAAGUGAGCCGCCUGGGGAGUACGGCCGCAAGGCUGAA